CCUACGGGAGGCAGCAGUGAGGAAUAUUGGUCAAUGGCCGUAAGGCUGAACCAGCCAAGUCGCGUGAAGGAAGAAGGAUCUAUGGUUUGUAAACUUCUUUUAUAGGGGAAUAAAGGUAUCCACGUGUGGAUAUUUGCAUGUACCCUAUGAAUAAGCUCCGGCUAACUACGUGCCAGCAGCCGCGGUAAUACGUAGGGAGCAAGCGUUAUCCGGAUUUACUGGGUGUAAAGGGCGCGUAGGCGGGAUGGCAAGUCAGAUGUGAAAUCCAGGGGCUCAACCCCUGAACUGCAUUUGAAACUGUCGUUCUUGAGUACUGGAGAGGUUGACGGAAUUCCUAGUGUAGCGGUGAAAUGCGUAGAUAUUAGGAGGAACACCAGUGGCGAAGGCGGUCAACUGGACAGCAACUGACGCUGAGGCGCGAAAGCGUGGGGAGCAAACAGGAUUAGAUACCCUUGUAGUC
rnacentral:rRNA from 1 species